rnacentral:lncRNA from 1 species
CCACCAGACACCACUUCCUUCAUCUUCCCUUAAAAACUCUUCCAGAGAAGCAUCUUCUCCAUUUCUCCCUUUGUUUAUUCUCCUCCUUUUGCUCUCUACCAUCAAAACACCACAUCAUUUCAUCAUUCCUUCAUUAAAAAGUCAUUUCCUUUCAUCCACUACACCACUUCCCAUUCAAACAUCCUCCAUUUCUUCAUUUAAAUAUUCAUCCCAUUCUCU